rnacentral:rRNA from 1 species
CACGUAGUUAGCCGGUGCUUCCUCACAGGGUACCGUCAUUAUCUUCCCCUGCGACAGAACUUUACGAUCCGAAGACCUUCAUCGUUCACGCGGCGUUGCUGCAUCAGGCUUUCGCCCAUUGUGCAAUAUUCCCCACUGCUGCCUCCCGUAGGAGUUUGGACCGUGUCUCAGUUCCAAUGUGGCCGAUCACCCUCUCAGGUCGGCUACUGAUCGUGGCCUUGGUAGGCUUUUACCCCACCAACUAGCUAAUCAGACGCGGGUCCAUCCUAUACCGCUAACGCUUUGAUACACCGAAGAUGCCAUCAGUGUACGUUAUCAUGUAUUAGUAUGCUUUUCAGCAUGUUAUCCAUGUGUAUAGGGCAGGUUACCCACGCGUUACUCACCCGUCCGCCGCUCAGUCUUCUUUGGUGCAAGCACCAAAGGGACCGCGCUCGACUUGCAUGUGUUAAGCACGCCGCCAGCGUUCAUCCUGAGCCAGGAUCAAA